CCCAACCUCACAGGUGUGCAGUAAGGAUUAAAUAGGGUUAGACUCAGAACGCAUUCUUCCAAGGACUGGCAAGAAUUCUAGAAACAAACAUCCAGACAGUGGACGCAGUCGCUUGGCUUCAGUAAUCACCUAGAUUUGGGGUCUUUGGUUUCAGUAUUCUGAUUAUUGAAAGAGUCUCGGAUCUUCACAACUUCAGCUGCACACAAAUGUCCAAAAGAUUUGGUGUACCACUCUGGCAUGUGGCCCCUGUAAUAGGAAGGAAAAGCACAUGGAGUCUUCAGAUUGGAAAGCACUGAAAUAAGCUGGAGGGAAUGCAGAAUAGAUUUCCAUUUCUUGAUCCAGAACCCUUCUGAGUAAAGAGCUUAUCUCCUGGCACAGCUGCCACACCUCUGGAACCCCAAGUUUCUCAAGGAACAACAUACUUAGUACAGACACUGAGUGACAUUGUUCGGGAAAAGGUUUAGCAGAUAGAACAAAAACUGACUACAAUUACAAAAGGACUGAGAUAUAUGGAUUUAAAAUGGGAAUUUAACCACUUUGGAAAGCUUU